AAGAGGGAUUAGGGACAAGAGGAGAUUGUGGUUCAGAUCAAGUGUUUCAGCAUAAACCUGUGGCAUCUCACCUGGCAUUCUUUCCCCAGGGGCUCUGUCAUUGCAGGGCCUUCCUCCAUGGGCUGGAGGGCUGGAAGGCAAGAUAUUCCCUGGAUCUUAGCAGCAGCAAGACUCUGAGGAAGUUCAGCCCCUGAGGUGUGGUCCUAGUUCAGGGAAGGGGAGAAUCAGCUUCGUGAAGACCUCUACCUUCCUUCCCCUGCUGGUCACUUUCCAGGAACUGUGAUGAAGAAAGACAGAUUUGUGAAGUAGCAAACACAGAUGUCUGUGACCUGGACAUGCCAGUUACCAACAAAAAACAGGAAUAAUCUUUCUAAGUGAACUAAAGGAGAAAAGCAAGUUGCUGGUGAAGCCCCAUAGCAUCCUCUAGAGAACAGAGUCCAUGGAUCGUUUCAGCAGCAGCAGCAGAGACACAGAACCGCUGAGGACUGCCCAGUGUUACUAAGCAGGGAGCUUUGUGUCAUCACAGAGGACCAUGUGAGAGCAUCACAGGAAUGCACUGAACUUGGAGACAGCUAGGAUUAUUCUCAAGAAAAAUCUCUAAAAGUCUCACUUUGAUACCACUGGCAAGGUUGAAACUGUGAAACCCAGUGAAAGCUUUUGAGAGGUGAAGACAAAGUGCAGAUAAACAGGUGUGUGUCUACAAGAUGAAUCUAGAAACCCAGAGGAGGAGGAGUGAGCCAUGGUCUGCAGAAUUGAUAAGUGCAGAUGGAGGGAUAGAGCCAGGCUGGCUGGAAGACAGCACAGCUUUAUUCUACCAAGACGGUCUCAGAUUGCCAGGAGCCGCUCCAGAAGCCAAAGCAAGGUUUGUCCCUCAUGCUGAACAACUGUUCUAGAACAUAGGAACUCUGUGGCCGUGAUGAUUCUAGAAGACAUGAUCUUGCUAUAACCACACCAGAGAACAGUUCUGUGGUCCCAGCCACCAGGCAGCCCAGUCAGUUUCUGUUCCAUGUAACUCUGGCGUAAGCACUGUUCGAAUUCUUCUGAUUGUCUAGAUAAUGUUUAUUAAGAUGCCCACCAGAGAAUCACUGACAUUCUGGGAGCCAUCAGUGCAGAAAAGAGUUAGCUUUUUGAACCCUCCACAGAAUUGGCCAACAGAAAGCUCCAAGCUGACAGUAACACGUCCCCAAGUCCUCUUUACUGAGGCACUUCUCAGUCCCCCGUGAUACAGUUUGGUCCUUGUCAAGACACCUCAGUAACCCAAGUCCAUCUGUCUCAACAUGCUCAGACAGCUAUAAAAACACUAACUAGGAAUCCUGUCAGAACCAGAAACUCAUUCCUUACAGCUCUGGAAAUGGUCUGUUCAAAAUGCAGGUUUGGAAUCUGCUGCAGACCUUCCCCUUAGAGGAGGUUGCUUUUGUAGUCUAACUCCAUGUUGGAGACAGGGUGGCGGUCUCUUUGCUGUUCCUUUGUAUAACGGCAAUAAUCCCAUUCACCAGGGCUCUGCCCCUUAUGAACUGUUCUAUCCAAAGCCUAGCUUCUUAAUACCAUCACCCAGGACAUCGGGGUUUCAGCAGAUGAACAUUGGUGGAAACACACUUGAAUCAUCAAAGGAAGUGCUUGUGAGAAUGCUUAGAACAGCGGAAGUCCACUGGAGUGUCUUCUCAUUCCGUUCACUACUCUCAGAGCAAUAAAGAUGCGCAGUACUUGCUAUAGGCGGGCAUUGGUGUGAGUUGGAUCCUUCAAGCUUGGUAUCUUGAAGGUUAACAGACUUGGUUGUGGCCAUGCAACUUGGAAGUAGAAAAGAAGGGACUUGUCCCAGAGUGGUCUGUCUUCACAGGCCACACAUCUGCUCACCGGGGACACUGCUAUUCUAUUUCAUGUUAUCUUUACCUUGCUGAGCGAACAGAAAGUUCAAGGAUGCCAAGGUAACUUCGUGGUGUGGUCAUUACAACUUGCACCUGGGACCAGUGAUGAAAGUCAUUCAUCUUGGCGGCCUUCAGAUGUCCCUUGGCCAACCAGUCAAGGGCAGUGUUUAAUAAAUAACAUGUUGCUGCUGUUUCUGACCGAUGCAGCAUUGUCUGGAUUGUUACUAUGGAGCCAGAGAAGGAACAAGUAACUCACGCUGACUCGAAUCCGGCUGUUCUUAUGAGACAAGGUCCUUCUCACUUUCACCUGUAGCCAGACCUAGAUGGUUAAGAUAGCCUUAGACCCUCAUCCCCCAGAGUAUUAAAAAAUACAGGGGUCGGGGAGGACUUAGUAUAAGUAAAAUGCCUAGUACUGGUUAUUUGUUAGCAGUAGAUCAUAGACAAGCUACUUUAAAUUCCUUUCCUGAUGGUGUAUGUCUCCCUUGAAUGAUGAACUCAAAAGUCCAGAAAGACUGUAGUCACUCUUAGAUAAUCUGGUCUUACAGUAUGCAGUGUAUUGCUGGGGGUAUGGUUCAGAGGCUAAGAACACUUGCUGGUCUUGUAGAGAACCCUUGUUCAGCUCACAGCACCCACAUGGGGCCAGUGAAAAAUCUGUAAAUCUGGUUCCAGGUGUAUCUCACAUCCUUCUUGUCUUUGAGGGCAUCUGAUAAACCUUUCUUUAAAAAGUACACAGCGAAUGAUACAGAGCUUUAAAAUCAUAAACAUACUGUAAGAAAAUAUGAAUUUAGUGGAAUAUGUUGAUUUAUUAAGGGAUUAGCAUCCCAGGCCACUAAGUUGACUAUUAGUCUGGCUACAAAUAAAUUCUUGGCGUAGGGCCUCAGUUGUCAACCACAGCUACAAAUUUGGUGCAGUAUACUAAUAAACGCAAUUUAUGUUUCUGUGUAGAGAAAUUCCUGCAACAUUCACAAGGAUUAAGUUGAUAACUGUUGCAAUUUAUUUGUGCAGAACACUCAGGCUGAUAGUUGGCUUUACAUUUUUUUUUGAGUUUUUAAUUUUAAAUGAGCAAAGCCACACUGGUGCAAUUGUCCAUGCUACAAAAAUUAAUUUGUAUAUUUUCUUUAUCCUAAUCACCACAGGGUUGGCUUUGGCUUAGCAAUCUGAUAACAAAUGUUUCAUGGAAUUCUUUGCCAAGCAUAAAGAAAGAAGAAAUCCAAGCCCUUUCAAGAGGAUGAUAAUGAUGAAUCAGCCCACACAGCACAGGGCUUCAUUCCUUACAGUGGUUUCCUCAGGAAAUGCUGGUUUAGUUCUUGAAUAAUUGAAAGUUUGCCGAAUGAAUGCAUAGUAGAUGUGUGCAUGACAAUGAGGUUGGGAGGCCUGUUUCUGGAAACCUCUGAGAACUGAGAGCAUCCCAUAUCCCUUAAAGCAGAGAGCCUGGCUGGCCCUGAGAACAGCCCAGCCUGGAGUCCCUAGGGCUCUGCUUUCUUCUCAUUAUUUUAAAGUGUUCUUCCUGAACUGUGAUUAGCAUUACAUUAUAGAACGCAGGUUUGUAUUUCUGUCAUCUUUCCCCUUUCCUGCAGGAUUUGUCUCUUUCCUUCCUUCAUUUCUUCUCCACCCCUGUUUGUAGUUAGGAGGACGUAGGUGACAGGCAUACAAUCUCUUUCUGAAUCCUUUUUCCUAAUCACCCUUUUCCCUAAGGCAGGAAAUCUGAUCACAGGUCUCUAACUGUUAAAAUGGUCCAAGGAGAAAACUCUGAACUCCUUUUAAAUAACAUGCACUGAAUCGUACCCAGCCUGAAUUCAUCUAUGCCCCCACCCCCCCACAGUGUGAGUGUCUGUCGGGAUACAGUCUUUAGGGGAUUAUUUAAAUAAAGUCUAAGAGCUAGA